rnacentral:lncRNA from 1 species
AAGCUUUAUACAAGAGAAAGAGGUUUCUUACAGCCAAGGAACUAGUGUUAGUUCCUUGAAACUCCAUAGAACAUGGCAAGACAGUGAGCUGUUGGUGUCGAUUCCAACUUCUCCUUCUCCCAUGGACCUUUCUCUUGAACUCUCCAUGUCAAAGACCCCACCUUUCUUCAUGUUAAGUUCGCCACAUCAGUACCAGCUGAAAGCUAUCACCUUUCUUCUUGGACAGUGGAUAAGACCUAGCUUGGACAUAGCUUUGAAGCUUGGUUGAUGAGAUCGCCUCAUACACCAUUGCUUCCAAGGUUCUUUCUUCUUCAUGGGCUUCAUGAGAGAGUGUAGGUCGGCCAGAGACAGCUUCUGGACACCAUGGAUG